AACGAACGCUGGCGGCAGGCUUAACACAUGCGAGUCGAACGCACCGCAAGGUGAGUGGCAGACGGGUGAGUAACACGUGGGGAUCUGCCCAAUGGUACGGAAUAGCUCCGGGAAACUGGAAUUAAUACCGCAUGAGCCCGCAAGGGGAAAGAUUUAUCGCCAUUGGAUGAACCCGCGUCGGAUUAGCUAGUUGGUGUGGUAAAGGCGCACCAAGGCGACGAUCCGUAGCUGGUCUGAGAGGAUGAUCAGCCACACUGGGACUGAGACACGGCCCAGACUCCUACGGGAGGCAGCAGUGGGGAAUAUUGGACAAUGGGCGCAAGCCUGAUCCAGCCAUGCCGCGUGAGUGAUGAAGGCCUUAGGGUUGUAAAGCUCUUUCGCCGACGAAGAUAAUGACGGUAGUCGGAGAAGAAGCCCCGGCUAACUUCGUGCCAGCCGCCGCAGUAACAC
rnacentral:rRNA from 1 species